GUCUACGGCCAUGCCGCCCUGAACACGCCUGAUCCCCUCUGAUCUCAGAAGCUAAGCAGGGUCUGGCCUGGUUAGUACUUGGAUGGGAGACCACCUAGGAAGAUCGGGAGCUGUAGGCG
rnacentral:rRNA from 1 species